rfam:Gossypium raimondii Chr03_contig_24, whole genome shotgun sequence.
UAUUAAAAAUUUCAUCUUUUUGUAUUGUUAAAAAUUGGCGUGGCUAAUAGAAUAACUAGACAAUAACACUUAGUGUGCCACGUGUAUUUUAUGCUAACAUUUAGGGAUCAGUUUUUAGCAAUAGAAAUGGAUGAAAUUUUUAAUA